CAAUUAGUGUUAUAAGUGACAAUCAUCCUCUCCUCCUGCCCCCCUUCACUCCUCUCCACCCACUGUCUUUUCUCCUUCCCUACUCUCCAUCCAACCUCCUCCUUUCCCCCCACCCUGUCCUCCUCCUUCUCUCCUUUAAUAACGUUUUGGGCAGUGAUUAAUUUGUUUCAUUUCUUUAUCAUUCAUCUGCAUUUAUACAUAUCAUUAAUCUGCAUUUAUACAUAAAAACCUAUUAACUAUUGGGAAGCUAAGCAUAAGAAUCAAUAUGAAACAUGAAAAAGUUUCUAAAAAUUGCCAAUAAAUGUAUAUUGUGAUGUGAAAUUAUUUUUCAGAUGGAAGUUAUAAAGGGCUCUGGGGUGUUUUGCCAGGCAGAAGCGUGGAAAGCAGCCCGCCUUGCCCCCUCUGCUACUGCCAUGGUGCGGAAUCUCCUGCUGGGCACCUUUGAUUUGGAGACUUUGCUGAAAAGCAACCUGAAUGGUGGGAAGCCAACCAGAGGGGAUGGGGACCAGCUGGUCGCACUUGACCAAAUUAAAAAGGCAGCCAUUAUUGAUGCUACAUUGAAGAAGUGGCCGGCAGCCAGCCGAGGGCAGAUAGGCACAUCUAUCAAUUCAAAGCUCACGGAGCUGAGAAGAUCAACAAGAUAAAUAGUUUUUUUUUUCUAUUCAGUUUUUUGUCUUGUUUUUGUUCUUGUUCUAUUUGAUUGUUCUUAAGU
rnacentral:lncRNA from 1 species